CAUGGCGGCGUGUAAACAACUGGCUAUUUGUUGGUGGUCAGGUGUUUACAUUGGUUUCCUGCGCCGCCAGAUGAAAUGCUCUUCUAGGCGUUACGUUUGAGGCUCAAAAGUUUCAAUCGUGGUAACAGAUUAGCUACA
rnacentral:snoRNA from 1 species